rnacentral:rRNA from 1 species
AUUGAACGCUGGCGGCAGGCCUAACACAUGCAAGUCGGACGGUAGCACAGAGGAGCUUGCUCCUCGGGUGACGAGUGGCGGACGGGUGAGUAAUGUCUGGGGAUCUGCCCGAUAGAGGGGGAUAACCACUGGAAACGGUGGCUAAUACCGCAUAACGUCGCAAGACCAAAGAGGGGGACCUUCGGGCCUCUCACUUUCGGAUGAACCCAGAUGGGAUUAGCUAGUAGGCGGGGUAACGGCCCACCUAGGCGACGACCCCUAGCUGGUCUGAGAGGAUGACCAGCCACACUGGAACUGAGACACGGUCCAGACUCCUACGGGAGGCAGCAGUGGGGAAUAUUGCACAAUGGGCGCAAGCCUGAUGCAGCCAUGCCGCGUGUAUGAAGAAGGCCUUCGGGUUGUAAAGUACUUUCAGCGGGGAGGAAGGCGAUGUGGUUAAUAACCGCAUUGAUUGACGUUACCCGCAGAAGAAGCACCGGCUAACUCCGUGCCAGCCGCCGCAGUAA